GGACGAACGCUGGCGGCGUGCUUAACACAUGCAAGUCGAGCGGUAAGGCCCUUCGGGGUACACGAGCGGCGAACGGGUGAGUAACACGUGGGUGAUCUGCCUCGCACUUCGGGAUAAGCCUGGGAAACUGGGUCUAAUACCGGAUAUGACYUCCAGCUGCAUGGUUGGUGGUGGAAAGAUUUAUCGGUGCGAGAUGGGCCCGCGGCCUAUCAGCUUGUUGGUGGGGUAAUGGCCUACCAAGGCGACGACGGGUAGCCGGCCUGAGAGGGCGACCGGCCACACUGGGACUGAGACACGGCCCAGACUCCUACGGGAGGCAGCAGUGGGGAAUAUUGCACAAUGGGCGAAAGCCUGAUGCAGCGACGCCGCGUGAGGGAUGACGGCCUUCGGGUUGUAAACCUCUUUCGACAGGGACGAAGCGCAAGUGACGGUACCUGUAGAAGAAGCACCGGCCAACUACGU
rnacentral:rRNA from 1 species